AGUGAUGUGUUUCUCUAGCCAGGGUUACUCCUUCACUCAGGCUGCUCACAUGCCCACUCACUAAGAGAGCUGCUGCUGCGUUUAGUAUCUGUUCGAUUGUUCAGGAAACCAAGAGAAACGAUCUCUUAGAGACUUUUGAAGGCAUG